GAGAACUUGGAAGGACCAGAUAAAGCUAAAGCCAGGAAGGAGUAAUGAAAGCACCAAGGCAGGAAAGAUCUGAGCUUAUUUUAACGACAAGAGGGGCAUGUUGACAAGAUGGUGAUAAUGAAUGGUGAUAAGUGAGCAAAGUUGGGGUAAACUGGAACCAGAUGACAAUGGUCUUUGUAUGAAAGGCAACAUGGUGUCAGGGAAGCAACCAUCACCCCAGCCUUGGGGCUCUCAGCCUGUUCUCUCACCUGUGGGCCUGGGAUAACAAUUCCACCCUUCAAGCAUUGUUGAGUGUCUGAAAAUGAAUAAAUAUGUGAAAAUGUCUGGCUAGUGCCUGUAUAUAUAUAGACUGUAAUCACUGAUUUUACUUUCUUUUGAAAUUCUGAAAAUUUUAUGUUGUGUAGAACUUUACAUGCAUUAACAUUAAUGUGUUCUCUGUAGAAAUGGUUUCUAUGAAUAAAAAGUUCAAUAUA
rnacentral:lncRNA from 1 species